CGGGAUAUAGCGCAGCCGGUAGCGCGCUUGCUUUGGGAGCAAGAUGUCGGGCGUUCGAACCGCCCUAUCCCGACUA
rnacentral:tRNA from 1 species